GCAUCAAUUUGAGUCUUUACUUGUGAGAGUUUCCUGCACGCACUACAAUUCUAUUGUAAUUGUUGGAGACUUCAAUAUUGACCUGUCAUCCGAUACCUCGAAUGAUUUAUGACAAAUGGAACCAUCUAUUUGUACUCAAGCAGCAAGUUCUUGAAUGUAACCUGCAUCAGGCCAAAACUAAGAGAGACGAAUAAAAGUACGAACACUUUAACUUACGACGUGCUGGUGAAGUCGGGCGAUGGCGACAAACAAACCCAAACACAUCCAAAUAGUUCAAGCGCAUGAACAGUUGGACAAAUAUUUUCUCAGUCCAAAUUUCUCGCAGUCCCUAGAAACCUGGUGAUUUGCUUAUUGUGUGCUAAAACGGAUGGGGUAAAAAAUGUAUUUGGUAAAUGCGGA